CCUGUGAUGAUAACAUUGAAGGCUUGUUUCUCAGAGACAUUCGCAGUGGCCGCCUAAGAUCUUUCGCCUUUCGCCGGGCUUGAGAGAUUGUGCUGUUUUAUCCUUCCUUGGAUGUCUGAGGCAUAUUUGUUGAUUAUUAGUUUUAGUAGUUGUUUGGUUUUUGAUUGAUAAAUGUUGAUGAUGAUAAUCUGAAGGCUUGUUUCUCAGAGACAUUCGCAGUGGCCGCCUAAGAACUUUCGCCUUCGCCUGGCUUGAGAGUUUAUGCUGCUUUGCUCCUUCCUUGGAUGUCUGAAAUU
rnacentral:lncRNA from 1 species